rnacentral:tRNA from 1 species
AAGAAGGAUUAUGAAAUACAGAGACUGCUAAUUAUCUGAGCCUAAAGUUAAAAUCUUUGGCCUUCUUA